AACGCACCUUGCGCCUCUUGGCUAUUCCGAGGGGCAUGCCUGUUUGAGUAUCAUGAACACCUCAACUCUCACGGUUUGCCCGUGAUGAGCUUGGACUUCUGGAGGCUUUGCUGGCCUAAGGCCGGCUCCUCUCAAAUAGAUCAGCUCACCAGUGUUUGGUGGCGCCAUGGGUGUGAUAACUAUCUACGCUUGUGGCCGUCUGCCAGGUAACCUUCAGCGAUGGAGGUUUGCUGGGGCUUACAAAUGUCUCUCCCCAGCGAAGACAGCUUUUUGAACGUUCGAUCUCAAAUCAGGUAGGACUACCCGCUGAACUUAA
rnacentral:misc_RNA from 1 species